GACGAACCGUGCGAACGUUGUUCGGAAUCACUGGGCUUAAAGGGCGCGUAGGCGGGCUCACAAGUCAGGGGUGAAAUCCCACGGCUCAACCGUGGAAGUGCCUUUGAUACUGUGGGUCUGGAGGGAGGUAGGGGCGUGCGGAACUUCCGGUGGAGCGGUGAAAUGCGUAGAUAUCGGAAGGAACACCGGUGGCGAAAGCGGCGCGCUGGACCUCUACUGACGCUGAGGCGCGAAAGCGUGGGGAGCGAACAGG
rnacentral:rRNA from 1 species